rnacentral:rRNA from 1 species
AGCAGCCGCGGUAAUUCCAGCUCCAAUAGCGUAUAUUAAAGUUGUUGCAGUUAAAAGCUCGUAGUUGAAUUUCGGGGUCAGUAGAUUGGUCGUGCCACUGGUAUGUACUGGUCUUACUGGCUCCUCCUUCCUGAUGAACCGUAAUGCCAUUAAUUUGGUGUUGCGGGGAAUCUGGACUGUUACUUUGAAAAAAUUGAGUGUUUAAAGCAGGCUAACGCUUGAAUACAUUAGCAUGGAAUAAUGAAAUAGGACGAUCGAUCCUAUUUUGUUGGUUUCUAGGAUUGACGUAAUGAUUAAUAGGGAUAGUUGGGGGCAUUAGUAUUCAAUUGUCAGAGGUGAAAUUCUUGGAUUUAUUGAAGACUAACUACUGCGAAAGCAUUUGCCAAGGAUGUUUUCAUUAAUCAAGACGAAGUUAGGGAUCGAAGACGAUCAGAUACCGUCGUAGUCUUAACCAUAAACUAUGCCGACUAGGGAUCGGAUGAUGUAAUUUUUAUGACUCAUUCGGCGUCCG